UCUACUCCUUAAUUACUAAAACCUUUUGGAUCAAACACCCUUCCACCUACUACCACCUACCAUCUUUAUCUCAACUCUACAAUUCAGCUAGAAUACUUUUAGAAGCACUAAUCUCUUGGUGUUUCGAAGUUUCUAUCCAUUGGAUCUAUUCCUUAAUUACUAAAACCUUUUGGAUCAAACAUUCUUCCACCUACUACCACCUACCAUCUUUAUCUCAACUCUACAAUUCAGCUAGAAUACUUUUAGAAGCACUAAUUUCUUGGUGUUUCAAAGUUUCUAUCCAUUGGAUCUACUCCUUAAUUACUAAAACCUUUUGGAUCAAACACCCUUCCACCUACUACCACCUACCAUCUUUAUCUCAACUCUACA
rnacentral:lncRNA from 1 species